rnacentral:rRNA from 1 species
CCUACGGGCGGCAGCAGUCGAGAAUCAUUCACAAUGGGGGAAACCCUGAUGGUGCGACGCCGCGUGGGGGAAUGAAGGUCUUCGGAUUGUAAACCCCUGUCAUGUGGGAGCAAAUUAAAAAGAUAGUACCACAAGAGGAAGAGACGGCUAACUCUGUGCCAGCAGCCGCGGUAAUACAGAGGUCUCAAGCGUUGUUCGGAAUCACUGGGCGUAAAGCGUGCGUAGGCUGUUUCGUAAGUCGUGUGUGAAAGGCGCGGGCUCAACCCGCGGACGGCACAUGAUACUGCGAGACUAGAGUAGUGGAGGGGGAACCGGAAUUCUCGGUGUAGCAGUGAAAUGCGUAGAUAGCGAGAGGAACACUCGUGGCGAAGGCGGGUUCCUGGACAUUAACUGACGCUGAGGCACGAAGGCCAGGGGAGCGAAAGGGAUUAGAUACCCGGGUAGUC